GCGUGACCGACCUGCCCCAUACACCGGAAUAGCUCCUGGAAACGGGUGGUAAUGCCGGAUGCUCCAGUUGAUCGCAUGGUCUUCUGGGAAAGCUUUCGCGGUAUGGGAUGGGGUCGCGUCCUAUCAGCUUGACGGCGGGGUAACGGCCCACCGUGGCUUCGACGGGUAGCCGGCCUGAGAGGGCGACCGGCCACAUUGGGACUGAGAUACGGCCCAGACUCCUACGGGAGGCAGCAGUGGGGAAUAUUGCACAAUGGGCGCAAGCCUGAUGCAGCGACCCCGCGUGAGGGAUGGAGGCCUUCGGGUUGUAAACCUCUUUUAUCGGGGAGCAAGCGAGAGUGAGUUUACCCGUUGAAUAAGCACCGGCUAACUACGUGCCAGCAGCCGCGGUAAUACGUAGGGUGCAAGCGUUAUCCGGAAUUAUUGGGCGUAAAGGGCUCGUAGGCGGUUCGUCGCGUCCGGUGUGAAAGUCCAUCGCUUAACGGUGGAUCCGCGCCGGGUACGGGCGGGCUUGAGUGCGGUAGGGGAGACUGGAAUUCCCGGUGUAACGGUGGAAUGUGUAGAUAUCGGGAAGAACACCAAUGGCGAAGGCAGGUCUCUGGGCCGUUACUGACGCUGAGGAGCGAAAGCGUGGGGAGCGAACAGGAUUAGAUACCCUGGUAGUCCACGCCGUAAACGGUGGAUGCUGGAUGUGGGGCCCGUUCCACGGGUUCCGUGUCGGAGCUAACGCGUUAAGCAUCCCGCCUGGGGAGUACGGCCGCAAGGCUAAAACUCAAAGAAAUUGACGGGGGCCCGCACAAGCGGCGGAGCAUGCGGAUUAAUUCGAUGCAACGCGAAGAACCUUACCUGGGCUUGACAUGUUCCCGACGGUCGUAGAGAUACGGCUUCCCUUCGGGGCGGGUUCACAGGUGGUGCAUGGUCGUCGUCAGCUCGUGUCGUGAGAUGUUGGGUUAAGUCCCGCAACGAGCGCAACCCUCGCCCCGUGUUGCCAGCGGAUUAUGCCGGGAACUCACGGGGGACCGCCGGGGUUAACUCGGAGGAAGGUGGGGAUGACGUCAGAUCAUCAUGCCCCUUACGUCCAGGGCUUCACGCAUGCUACAAUGGCCGGUACAACGGGAUGCGACGCGGCGACGCGGAGCGGAUCCCUGAAAACCGGUCUCAGUUCG
rnacentral:rRNA from 1 species